GGAAUUACUGGGCGUAAAGCGUGCGUAGGUGGUCGUUUAAGUCCGUUGUGAAAGCCCUGGGCUCAACCUGGGAACUGCAGUGGAUACUGGACGACUAGAGUGUGGUAGAGGGUAGCGGAAUUCCUGGUGUAGCAGUGAAAUGCGUAGAGAUCAGGAGGAACAUCCAUGGCGAAGGCAGCUACCUGGACCAACACUGACACUGAGGCACGAAAGCGUGGGGAGCAAACAGGAUUAGAUACCCUGGUAGUCCACGCCCUAAACGAUGCGAACUGGAUGUUGGGUGCAAUUUGGCACGCAGUAUCGAAGCUAACGCGUUAAGUUCGCCGCCUGGGGAGUACGGUCGCAAGACUGAAACUCAAAGGAAUUGACGG
rnacentral:rRNA from 1 species